rnacentral:lncRNA from 7 species
CGGGGAACACACCCGCUGGUCGGUCCACGGCGAGGCUGUUCAAGGCGCCGAUCUGUGGCGGUGCAACCCUUGUUUCGGUCACCUGACAAUGGUAGAGUUCAAAAGCUGAGUUGCGUGAGCUUCACUGGCCAGUAGAGAUCUCAGAACAAGCGUAGCACGGUUGAGAAACCCUCUGUAAUUACCUGGCCACGGUGAGGUCAGUGACUUGCUGGGUUUGGUCACCACAUAGAGGCUGGCGUUCUUGGUUCUGGACAAUUCAACUUUGUGGCAAAGGAGAGGGUAACUCCAGCAUGAACACAGGACUGCACACUCCUUGCAGUGAUCUAUGUGUAGAGCUCAAGGUCAGGGAGAAGAACUUCACUGGUACCAAGUUUUAUAGCCUCUAACAAAGGGCACAGGGCAGGUGUCACAAGAUUUGGCAACCAUGCAGUGAAGAAAUGCUUUCCCAAGUUGCCAACACCACAGGGACUCCAAUAUAUGGCUCUCAUGCACUACUAUCACACAGGAAAAGGCAGCUGAGAACCCAUUGGUGGAUAAGCACUAAAGGGAUCCAAGGUUUGAUAUUUCGUACAUGGAAGAGGCUACUAAAUUUGUUGUCCAGUUCAUCCUAAAUAUCAGUUUUCAGC